AAAUGCCUGAAAGAGAAGCGAGAACGGCCCCUGGGUGGCUGCUUCCUGGCCAGCGGUGUUUUCCAGUGCGGUCCGAACUCCGGAUGGAGUGCCAUGUAGAAAGGAACCUGUCUGAGCCUCUAUGGGAAUGAAAAUGUUGACGGGAUACAAGGAAAAAGAACUAUUUCGGAGCUGUCUGAAGAUUUCAGAUUUGCUCUGCAGAAAUCUUCUUGCCUAUCGUCCCUGGAGCCCAUUGGGGUAGAAGAUUUUAACCUUGGAUUUUUCAGGUGAUCUAGGCAAGCCCAAACGAGAUGAAAUGACUUUCCCAAGGACUCCGAGAAAGAUGCCGAGCUGAAACUUGACCUGACCGCCCAGCUCAGA